rnacentral:rRNA from 1 species
AGAGUUUGAUUCUGGCUCAGAUUGAACGCUGGCGGCGUGCCUAACACAUGCAAGUCGAGCGGAAACAUGUGUAUCAAUACAUGCUGACGAGCGGCGAACGGGUGAGUAAUGCUUCGGAAUCUGCCCAAUAGGGGGGAAUAACUAGCCGAAGGGUUAUCUAAUACCGCAUAAAACCUACGGGUGAAAGCAGGGGAUCGCACGACCUUGCUCUGAUGUAUGAACCGAACUCCGAUUAACUAGUUGGUAGGGUAACGGCCUACCAAGGCGACAAUCCGUAGCUGGUCUGACAGGACGACCAACCACACUGGGACUGAGACACAGCCCAUACUCCUACGGGAGGCAGCAGUGGGGAAUAUUGGACAAUGGGGGCAACCCUGAUCCAUCGACCCCGCGUGUGUGAAGAAGGCCUGCGGGUUGUAAAGCACUUUUAGUGGGGAUGAAAAGCCUAGGGUUAACACCUCUGGGUCUUGACCUAACCCACACAAAAAGCACAGACUAAUUCUGUGCCACCCGCCGCGGUAA